AUUAAUGUUUACUUAAUCGUCUCUUUUUAUGAUUUUUCCUCUAUUCAAUAUUUUCUAGCCUUAUUCUUUGUUGACUUAGAUUUUUAUUCUCUUUUUGUUUUUAGUUGAGUCUUUUAGGUCAUUUUCCUUUACGCUUUUACUAUAUACUAGGUGAUCAUCCGCGCUACGCCGCGGUUUUUUUGGAUUUUUUCAUAUUGUUUAAUUUAAAUAUAAUUUUUAUUUAUCUAAUCAUUCACUCAUGCAAUAAGCAAUUACUUUUAGUAUUAAAAAUAUUUUUUUCUAACAACAUUCUCAACAAUGCAUCAUACACAUAAUUCAUAAACAACGUUUGUCUUAAAUCAAUUUAACAGAGCGUAGUGUUAGAUUCUAGAAACCUAAGAAUUUGAUGUUGGAGCUCCUUACGGAUUCUUCACCCUCAGUGAUUUAUUAUAUAAAUAUCAAUUUAA
rnacentral:sRNA from 1 species